CUCUGCCACCCAGCCAUGGCUACUGCUCUCAGCUAUGCUGUACAUGUUAUUUUUGGAGCCCUGUGCUUUACCACAGUCUUCCAGGCAGGCUGAAUAAAUCUGUCUCACAGAACCCAGGAUGUUAACAUCUUCCUUAACAAAUGGGGAGAUUUGUAAGGAAACCAAUUCUAGGAUGGGUAUUUUCUCGGGCAGAAUGGCUGCCAUUUUGGCAAUAAAUCAAGGUAAAUAGUUGGCUGGGUGCUGGAUACUCAGAGGGCUGAAAGAGGCCCUUGAUCCAUAAUGAUGCUUACCUUACAUGCUCAGUCUCUGAGUGGAAAUUAAGAGCUCUCAGCUCUGAAGCCUGUAAUUCUUCUCUGCCUCUUUCAGGUUGGAACAUUCCUUAUGAAUUCAAUGAAUCUGACCUGAGGAUUAGCAUGCGGCAGAUCCAGAUGUUUCUCAAUGAUUACAAAGAGGUGCCUUUUGAGGCUCUGACCUACCUGACAGGGGAAUGUAAUUAUGGAGGCAGAGUGACUGACGACAAAGACAGGCGUCUCCUGCUGUCCCUGCUGUCCACAUUCUACUGUAAGGAAAUUGAGACAGAUCACUACUACAUUGCUCCAGGACAGCCGUACUUCAUCCCUCCCCACGGCUCCUACCAGUCAUACAUUGAGUACCUCAGGACCCUCCCCAUCACAGCACACCCUGGAGUAUUUGGUCUCCAUGAGAAUGCUGACAUCACCAAGGACAACCAGGAAACCAACCAGCUCUUCCAAGGAGUGCUGUUGACUCUGCCAAGACAGUCUGGAGGGAGUGGGAAGUCUCCUCAGGAAGUGGUUGAGGAGCUGGCCCAGGAUAUACUCUCCAAGCUUCCCAAAGACUUUAACCUGGAAGAGGUCAUGAAGUUGUACCCUGUGGUCUAUGAGGAGUCUAUGAAUACCGUCCUAAGGCAGGAGCUCAUCAGAUUCAACAGGCUGACCAAAGUGGUUCGCAGAAGCCUUAUUGAUCUUGGCCGAGCCAUCAAAGGGCAAGUCCUAAUGUCCUCAGAGCUGGAGGAAGUCUUCAAUAGUAUGAUCGUGGGUAAAGUGCCAGCCAUGUGGGCAGCCAAGUCCUACCCAUCACUGAAGCCCCUGGGGGGCUACGUGGCUGACCUAUUGGCCCGCCUGGCCUUCUUCCAGGAAUGGAUCAACAAAGGCCCCCCUGUGGUCUUUUGGAUCUCUGGAUUCUACUUCACACAGUCCUUUUUGACGGGAGUUUCUCAGAAUUAUGCCAGGAAAUAUACCAUCCCCAUUGACCACAUUGGAUUUGAAUUUGAGGUAACAUCAAAAGAAACAACAAUGGAGAAUAUCCCAGAAGAUGGGGCCUACAUCAAAGGACUUUUCCUUGAGGGUGCCCGUUGGGACAGGACAAUCAGGCAGAUUGGAGAAUCUCUCCCCAAAAUCCUCUAUGACCCAUUGCCCAUCAUUUGGCUGAAACCCGGAGAGAGUGCAUCAUUCCUGCAUCAGGACAUUUACGUGUGUCCAGUGUAUAAGACGAGUGCUCGGAGAGGCACCCUCUCUACCACUGGCCACUCUACUAACUAUGUCCUGUCCAUUGAGCUUCCAACAGACAUGCCCCAAAAGCACUGGAUAAACCGAGGCGUGGCCUCGCUGUGCCAGCUGGAUAACUGA
rnacentral:lncRNA from 14 species